AACGUAGGAGGCGAGCGUUAUCCGGAGUUACUGGGCGUAAAGAGCUCGUAGGCGGUUUGUCGCGUCUGUCGUGAAAGCUUGGGGCUUAACCCCAAGUCUGCGGUGGAUACGGGCAGACUAGAGGCAGGUAGGGGAGAACGGAAUUCCCGGUGUAGCGGUGAAAUGCGCAGAUAUCGGGAGGAACACCGGUGGCGAAGGCGGUUCUCUGGGCCUGUACUGACGCUGAGGAGCGAAAGCGUGGGGAGCGAACAGG
rnacentral:rRNA from 1 species